rnacentral:lncRNA from 1 species
CUGGGGUUGCUGAUAGCCAUUCUACCUCCACAUGGAACUAGAAAAUAAACCACCACAGAAAAAGCAGAAAUGCACAAUGAACUAGGUCGUGUCCCAAUGACGUCGUUUGACCCCUGACUCCAGCCUGACCUGGACUUUUCAAUUCCUUGAACUAAUACAUUCCCUCUUCUUGCUGAAGUCACGCUGGCAUGCAGUGGUGCAAUCAUAGCUCACUGUAACCUUGAACUCCUGGGCUCAAGUGAUCUUCCUGCUUCAACUUUCCGAGUAGCUGGGACUACAGGCAUGCACCACCAUGCACAGCCCUUUAGGUACGGUGCUGAGUACCCAUGAACCUUAUCUCUGAUCACCACUGCAACUCACUCUUAUGGCAUGGAUCAGCAAGCAGGGCUCAGAGAAGAGCCAAAUCAAUGGUACUCAUGCUACGAACAGGAGCUAUGGUAUUUUUACCAAAUCUGGAGACAGUGAUCUUCACUUUGAAAAACAGGUUCUGAGAAGCCCCUCAGAAGUGAGAAAGGCUGUAACCUAACCUCGAAAUUUAUUAGCAGAAGCAGGUAAGGACACUAACAGACACACAGGAGAGGCUUAGUAAUUUGCUGUGGUGGCCAGACUCCACGAUGGUCCUGAUCACUCACUCUGGCAGAAACCAUGUUAUAAUCAGCGCUGUGAAAUGGCUCAUGAGUCUGUGAGCAGCCACGUUGUGAGCAGUCCUAAGGAAAGGCCCAAAUAGCAAGAAAUGGAAACUUCCUGACAACAGCCAGUUAUUGAGAGAGAAUCUCUGGACCCUUUCGUGCAGUUAUUGAGAGAGAAUCUCUGGACCCUUUCGUGCCCCUAAAAUUAAAUCCCCUGACUCCAGGCUAAAAAAUAUGGCAAUAACUUUGUUUGGGGCCAGGGUGGUCCCUUAAUCCUGAGGCAUUUGUGAUUCCUUCCCCCCUAUCAACCCAGCAUCCCUCACCCUUCUACCACUGGAAACAUAAUGACUUAAGAAGCUCAAUUUGGUCUCAUGAGCAGCCUUCAAGCAAACCUUUUGCUGGGAAGGUCGUUAUGGAGAAAAGCAAGGGUUUCAGAAAUGAAAUAAAUUGUUCUAUCAAUAAGC